GGACUAAAACAGAAUAGCAGUAGGCUCGAUGCACUUGUAACGAAGAGUCGCGUCAAGUAUCAUUAUACCAUUUUUGCUGCCUUGACUUUUCAAGUUGCAAUUAGGAACUGCAAUAGUGAACAUUGAGGGACACGAGUGAAAGACAGAAAAACUGCAAAGUGACACCGAAAUAGGUGGUCCAGCUGUUGUCAGUCUGGUCUUCUCAAAGAUCAAGAAUGUUAUGCAAACAUAGAUCUGGAAAUUCCCGCCUUUGAAAAUCAUUUCUUGGUCUUCUCGGGGAGGCGACCCCACUACGCUCGGAUCACGCCACCAUUCGCGCCUAUCAUCACAUAUGCCGCAUUCUUUUGAAACAACAGACCGAAAUCGACGUUUUUGGAAGUCGCUGCUUGGCGACAACUAUGCGCUCGUCGAUACAUUGUAUGCUGCUCGUCGGGUAGAUAAGGUGAUCCGCCAGCGACAUUAUAGGACCGCAAGCGACAUCCAGAAACGCGACCCAUACUAAAAUCUCGCAGCGUAAUAAAGCGUACACCUCCCUCUUUUUUUGAUACUACAUAUAUAUGUAUUAUACAUAAAUAUUAUAUUAUGUUACCAAUGAACGAAUAGAAAAUUUUAUUUUCACAAUAGUCAAGUAAAAUUAUAUAUAUAUCUAUUGAACUUUCACAAUUAGGCUUGUCCAACAAGUUUCAUAUAAAUAGGUAGACUGCAGAUAUUUAUGCAAAUUUAUAUUUUUAUGAAUAUAAUUGAUAGAGUAUAGGACAUGAAAAAAGAUUUGUUUCAUUUAUUAUAUAUAGUAACGUGCAUUAUGCUGGUUUUUAUUCUUACGCGUUGUGUUCAUUCUAUGAAUAGAUUUUUUCCCUUAAAAUUUCUCAUAAAUGCAUAAAAAUGCUCGGUCGAUCGACAAGUCUAGGUAAGUUUGGGUAUUAUAGUUGUGUUUAGAAGUUUUUAUGUAUAACAUUUUAAUCUUCAAAUUCAUUAGCGUUUCUGUAAAUGAUAAUAAAUAAUUCAUAACAAAACUCAUUUAAAAUGACAAUAUGCUAUAAAUUAUAACAAUCAUUCUGUCGGUAUUAAAAGGCAUUUCUUUAUCAGCAAAUUUUUCACUUGUAUCAUAUCAAAUAGAUAAAUAUAGACGUAUGUAUAAUAAUGUAUUUCUUCCUCAUUCUUUCUUGUUUAUCCUGGAUAUUUGUAU